CCUACGGGGGGCAGCAGUGGGGAAUAUUGCACAAUGGGGGAAACCCUGAUGCAGCAACGCCGCGUGAGCGAAGAAGGCCUUCGGGUCGUAAAGCUCUGUCCUAAGGGAAGAAGCAUGACGGUACCUUAGGAGGAAGCCCCGGCUAACUACGGGCCAGCAGCCGCGGUAAUACGUAGGGGGCGAGCGUUAUCCGGAAUCACUGGGCGUAAAGGGUGCGUAGGCGGCCAAUUAAGCCAGGGGUGAAAGGCUACGGCUCAACCGUAGUAGGCCUGUGGAACUGAAUUGCUUGAGUGCAGGGGAGGUGAGUGGAAUUCCUAGUGUAGCGGUGAAAUGCGUAGAUAUUAGGAGGAACACCAGUGGCGUAGGCGACUCUCUGGACAGUAACUGACGCUGCGGCACGAAAGCGUGGGGAGCAAACAGGAUUAGAUACACUGGGAGAC
rnacentral:rRNA from 1 species